rnacentral:rRNA from 1 species
AUUGAACGCUGGCGGAAUGCUUUACACAUGCAAGUCGAACGGCAGCACGGGGCAACCUGGUGGCGAGUGGCGAACGGGUGAGUAAUACAUCGGAACGUGCCCAAUCGUGGGGGAUAACGUAGCGAAAGUUACGCUAAUACCGCAUACGAUCUACGGAUGAAAGCGGGGGAUCGCAAGACCUCGCGCGAGUGGAGCGGCCGAUGUCAGAUUAGGUAGUUGGUGGGGUAAAGGCUCACCAAGCCAACGAUCUGUAGCUGGUCUGAGAGGACGACCAGCCACACUGGAACUGAGACACGGUCCAGACUCCUACGGGAGGCAGCAGUGGGGAAUUUUGGACAAUGGCGGCAAGCCUGAUCCAGCCAUUCCGCGUGCAGGAUGAAGG